AUACCUUUCUCGGCCUUUUGGCUACAAUCAAGUGUAAUAUUUGUUCUUAUCAGUUUAAUAUUUAGGGUUUAAUAUGUGGGCCAUCGUCUCACACAAUAUUAAAUUUAUUUUUCGAGGGUGAAGAUCCAUCCAAGUAUCUUGCUACUUGGGUCUUCAAAGGUCACCCAUGCAUUGCACUAUUGCACGAGCCUGAUGUACCCCGC